rnacentral:rRNA from 1 species
AACAAACGCUGGCGGCGUGCCUAAUACAUGCAAGUCGAACGGGGAAAGCUUUCGGGUGAGUACUAGUGGCGCACGGGUGAGUAACGCGUGGAUAAUCUGCCUUAGAGUGGGGGAUAACUAGUCGAAAGAUUAGCUAAUACCGCAUAAGACCACAAGAACUGCGGUUCAAGGGGUCAAAGGUUUUUCGCUCUAAGAUGAGUCCGCGUAAGAUUAGCUAGUUGGUGAGGUAAUGGCUCACCAAGGCGACGAUCUUUAACUGGUCUGAGAGGAUGAUCAGUCACACUGGAACUGAGACACGGUCCAGACUCCUACGGGAGGCAGCAGUAGGGAAUAUUGCACAAUGGAGGAAACUCUGAUGCAGCGACGCCGCGUGAGUGAUGAAGGCCUUCGGGUCGUAAAGCUCUGUCGCAAGGGAAUAACACAAUGAAGGUACCCUGUAAGAAAGGAUCGGCUAACUUCGUGCCAGCCGCCGCCGUAACAC